CGUGACUGCUAUCGGAUUGAUACUAAGCCAUGCGAGUCAUUGUAGUAAUACAAGGCAGACGGCUCAGUAACGCGUAGUCAACCUAACCUAUGGACGGGAAUAACCUCGGGAAACUGAGUAUAAUGCCCGAUAGAACAUUAUGCCUGGAAUGGUGUAUGUUCCAAAUGAUUUAUCGCCGUAGGAUGGGACUGCGGCCUAUCAGUUUGUUGGUGAGGUAAUGGCCCACCAAGACUAUUACAGGUACGGGCUCUGAGAGGAGUGGCCCGGAGAUGGGUACUGAGACACGGACCCAGGCCCUAUGGGGCGCAGCAGGCGAGAAAACUUUGCAAUGUGCGAAAGCACGACAAGGUUAAUCCGAGUGGUUUCUGCUAAAGGAACCUUUUGUCGGUCCUAGAAACACCGAUGAAUAAGGGGUGGGCAAGUUCUGGUGUCAGCCGCCGCGGUAAAACCAGCACCUCAAGUGGUCAGGAUGAUUAUUGGGCCUAAAGCAUCCGUAGCCGGCUUUGUUAGUUUUCGGUUAAAUCUGUACGCUUAACGUACAGGCUGCCGGGAAUACUGCAGAGCUAGGGAGUGGGAGAGGUAGACGGUACUCGGUAGGAAGGGGUAAAAUCCUUUGAUCUAUUGAUGACCACCUGUGGCGAAGGCGGUCUACCAGAACACGUCCGACGGUGAGGGAUGAAAGCUGGGGGAGCAAACCGGAUUAGAUACCCGGGUAGUCCCAGCUGUAAACUAUGCAAACUCAGUGAUGCAUUGGCUUGUGGCCAAUGCAGUGCUGCAGGGAAGCCGUUAAGUUUGCCGCCUGGGAAGUACGUACGCAAGUAUGAAACUUAAAGGAAUUGGCGGGGGAGCACCACAAGGGGUGAAGCCUGCGGUUC
rnacentral:rRNA from 1 species